rnacentral:lncRNA from 1 species
ACUGCGCACGGGGCGGGGCCUCCCAAUUAAGGGGAUGAGGGUCAGGAAGGGAACCUGGGGUCAGCACACGUGGAGUUCUGGGUGGGGCGCUGGGCAGAGGGACUCGGCUUCUAGGGCUCUGAGCCAGGCCGAGGGACAGACUGCUGGGAAGUCCCCAAAAGGGCAGCAGCACUGAGGGGCAGGAUUCCAGGGUCCUGGAGGCGGAAGCUCGGCCGACUGACUCCCAGUUCGAGAGAACGGGGCGGGGGCAGCCCACCAGUGCUGGAACCCGAGGGGCCGGGCGAGGAACGCUGGACUGGGAGCAGGACCCUUCUCGCCUCGGACAAGACUCCUUGUCUGGGGACCCAGCCCGACUUCAUUGUAGCUGGGUCCUCGAGAAAGCGAAAGGAGCCCUCCUUCCCCAUUGGCCUCUCCAUCGCUGCAUCCCAAGAAGAAAGACAACUCGGGCUCCACUUGCUUGCUUUUUAAUAACAGAGCAGAGAGAAUACAAGGCCAGGAGCGGGGCCUGGAGGAAAACAGGACUUGGGGUGCUCCUGUGAGAGCGACGCUGCCAACUCCAUCCCCCAGGGAUUGUGAAGGGGGUUCCUUCUGGCUGUGACAGUGCUGAACGAGGCCAGAGAGUGCAGCUGCCUGGAGGCACAAGCCUCCUCCUGAUCCAGGGGGCUCCAGGGAGACCAAAGCAGCUGUCAAGAUGAGAGAAAUUGAAAAAGAAAAUGGAAAACUCUCCAGCCUGGCUCUCAGCUUCUGCAUCUCCAUGCAAGACCAGAGACCCACAUCACUCCCUCACUCCACCCAGUUCCACUCCAACAAUAC